UGAUACUUGGUUUCAGGUUGGGAACUAUUUCUGCUAGCUGUAAAAAAAAUCUUAUAGUACAUGAAAAUGAGCCCGGUUGUAAAUACCUUUUUUCGAAAACUGGAAUGGGAGGCUAAAAUUCCAAGAUGGAGACGCCACCACUUACCGAUGGACAGCUGCAAAGUUUGUCCUAUACUUGCCAUUCAGGACCAUUGAGCAGGGAGUGGUCUUUUUCGUGCCAGCAUCUACUGCGACACGGGACCUCGGAUAAUACGGUGUAUUGAUUUUAUAAAUAAAUCCCUUUUUCAAGAGAAAGCAUCCGAAACAAGCUUGCCCAGGUCCCAUCCCUUAAACAAUUUCUGUUUCCAAAUUAUUUUGCCGUUUUCAGGCAGAAGAAAUUUUUUUAUUUUAGAAUCCCACUUUACCCUAGAUCUUUUUUUUCACAUAAGCAUCUUUUUGUUACAAAAGUACAUUAUUAACUUUUGUAGUUAUUCGUAUUUGUUAAUUUGCAUAUGAAACGCCCACAAAAAAAACCUCGUUAUUAAAAGGUGGACUGUAUGACAUUGGGUAUUGUAAGGAGAGCAGGCCCUGGGUAGUGUCACUGUAAGAAUUUGCAGAGUGUCACGACAGGAGAUUGGAUUCAUUUGCACGAUGAAGGCAAUGAGCAGAAAGGUAGUUGGGCUGAUAGCUGCUGCCGUUCUUGGUGUAGUAGUUGUUCUGGCUAUUACGCUUAGUCUCUCACUCAGAAAGGAUAACCAGGAACCUGGAAACCCCAGCUCCCUUU